rnacentral:rRNA from 1 species
GCGGCGGACGGGUGAGUAACGCGUAGGCAACCUGCCCCUUGCAGAGGGAUAGCCUCGGGAAAACCGGGAUUAAAAACCGUCAUAAUGCGUUUUUGAAGACAUCUUCGAGGCGCCAAAGAUUUAUCGGCAAGGGAUGGGCCUGCGUCUGAUUAGUUAGUUGGUGGGGUAACGGCCUACCAAGGCAGCGAUCAGUAGCCGACCUGAGAGGGUGAUCGGCCACAUUGGAACUGAGACACGGUCCAAACUCCUACGGGAGGCAGCAGUGGGGAAUAUUGCACAAUGGGGGAAACCCUGAUGCAGCAACGCCGCGUGAAGGAUGAAGGCCCUUGGGUCGUAAACUUCUGUUCUAAGGGAAGAUAAUGACGGUACCUUAGGAGCAAGUCCCGGCUAACUACGUGCCAGCAGCCGC